rnacentral:rRNA from 1 species
AACGAACGCUGGCGGCAGGCCUAACACAUGCAAGUCGAGCGGACCCUUCGGGGUUAGCGGCGGACGGGUGAGUAACGCGUGGGAAUAUGCCCUUCUCUACGGAAUAGUCCUGGGAAACUGGGGGUAAUACCGUAUACGCCCUUUGGGGGAAAGAUUUAUCGGGGAAGGAUUAGCCCGCGUUGGAUUAGGUAGUUGGUGGGGUAAUGGCCUACCAAGCCGACGAUCCAUAGCUGGUUUGAGAGGAUGAUCAGCCACACUGGGACUGAGACACGGCCCAGACUCCUACGGGAGGCAGCAGUGGGGAAUCUUAGACAAUGGGGGCAACCCUGAUCUAGCCAUGCCGCGUGAGUGAUGAAGGCCUUAGGGUUGUAAAGCUCUUUCAUCUGGGAAGAUAAUGACGGUACCAGCAGAAGAAGCCCCGGCUAACUCCGUG